CACGUAGGCACCAAGCGUUGUCCGGAUUUAUUGGGCGUAAAGAGCUCGUAGGCGGUUCGUCGCGUCGGCUGUGAAAACCUGAGGCUCAACCUCAGGCCUGCAGUCGAUACGGGCGGACUUGAGUACUGCAGGGGAGACUGGAAUUCCUGGUGUAGCGGUGAAAUGCGCAGAUAUCAGGAGGAACACCGGUGGCGAAGGCGGGUCUCGUGGGCAGUAACUGACGCUGGAGGAGCA
rnacentral:rRNA from 1 species